UGACAGCUGAGGCAUCAGAGGCACUGGGAAGUGGCAGGAAUACUGAUUCCAGCGCAACUGCAUAUGGAAAGGGAAUAAGAAAUGCAGCCCAUAGAGAACUGUCAUGGAAGCUGUAUUCUGCCGGACCAACCUUUUAUUAAUGAUGCAGCCACAGGAGCUCAUUAAGCAUCUGCAGACUACUAGGAUUUUACAUAAAGCACAAACAACAGGUAACUGUAAAUUGUAGCACUUUCCUUUUUGUCAGGGGGCUCAUUGACUUCGUUGGUCAUUGGAAACUCCAGCCAGCAAGCCAUUUCCCGACCUGUGCUCCACCAACUUUCUGCUCAGCCAAGCUCCAGAUUCCACUGCUGCUACCGAGCAGAAAGGUCAUGGGAGGCCCCCCUGGGCUUAUUUAUGGGCGCGCAGCCAGACUGAGCUCGAGCAAGUGCCCAAUGAAAGCCAUAUGGUAGCAAGCAGCCACUCGCAGCCCCACAGCAGCUAAGGAGUCCGCGCAGGCUGGCGGCCAGCAGCACGUGCCCCAGGAGCAGCAGCAGCACCCGCUGCAGAGACAAGGACAGGGGCUGCUCCCAGAUGGCGGGGAUGCAGAGCUCCAUCUCUCAGCCUGAGCUUCCUGCUUCUGCACCUGUCACAUCUGCCCCUGUGGCUCAGUACCCACCGCCACCACCCUCCACUCGGGCACACUACAUAAUCUGCACACACCUCUGGUGAGCGCUGCCUUGUGAUGCUGCUGUCACGUUAUCCAGAGAUUAGCUUGCUUUGCAAUGCUCUCAUUAAAGAGGGUUGGGUGGCAUCAUGUCGAAAUAACCAUGUAAGACUUGUAAUGCAUGCCUGUGCUGAGCAGAGACACACGUUUGUUGAGAAAAAACAUGAUUGCUAUGGUCUGCUGCUGCUUACCUUCCCCAUGCCCGGAACACAAGUGAAGGUAAAAUUGGGUAAGCACUGCAGACUUGUAAAGCACUUGCUGGGUGCAUUCAGGUUUUGCAGAUCUCCUUAUUUUUUAAUUUGAAAUAAUGAAAACAAUAGCAUCACUGGGAGAGAUCUACAGGGGGAGUGCUGAGCAGUUAUGAGUUUAAAGGCGUGAAAUUAGCGUGCCAAAGUGAAAGCACGUUAUGUACCUAUGGGAACACUCUCAUUCAGAAGUAAAUUGGCUUAAAGUUCACUGUGGCUUAAUGCUC
ensembl:lncRNA